CUAGCACAUCUUGCAUCCGCGACUUAGACCGCGACUCGAGUCGACAUUCCCGCGGCUGUCAAAUCUGUCGAUUUCCGUAGCACAACUUGAACCCGCGACUGCAACAGCCGCGUAGAGAACUCAAAGUCGCGGCGCGACUCAUCAGUGUUGCCCGAUGAAAUCAAAGUCUAAACAUAAAUGCUAUUUACAUGUGACAACACUGAAUCGGAAACAGGGUUGCGCUAUUUCAUUCGUUCUUUGGUGGUAAAAAUCUAGUUUAUUGUCGAUGGUUAAGUUUUUCCUGUCAAAGUCAAGGAACUUUCAAAUUUUGUCAACAUUUAAUUACGAGAAAAAAUAUGAAAAAAAUAAUAAGUCCAGCAUUAUCCUAGACACGAUUGAUAUCCCAGCACCCAAAGGAAAAUAUUGUUAACAGGGAUGUGCCAACGGGACCCGAAGUGGAGAGUCAGGAAAAGAAACACACUAGGCAAGCUUGGUGAUAUUGUCUUACGCCGCAUGUCGAAGAAAAAGGAAGAGAGAAAAUACUUUUCAAGGGUAAUAAAGAA